rnacentral:rRNA from 1 species
GACGAACGCUGGCGGCGUGCCUAAUACAUGCAAGUCGAGCGGACCAAGAAGAGCUUGCUCUUUGAGGUUAGCGGCGGACGGGUGAGUAACACGUGGGCAACCUGCCUGUAAGCUUGGGAUAACUCCGGGAAACCGGUGCUAAUACCGAAUACAACAAAGGACCGCAUGGUCCCUUGUGAAAAGACCUUGUGUCACUUACAGAUGGGCCCGCGGCGCAUUAGCUUGUUGGUGGGGUAACGGCCUACCAAGGCGACGAUGCGUAGCCGACCUGAGAGGGUGAUCGGCCACACUGGGACUGAGACACGGCCCAGACUCCUACGGGAGGCAGCAGUAGGGAAUCUUCCGCAAUGGACGAAAGUCUGACGGAGCAACGCCGCGUGAGCGAUGAAGGUUUUCGGAUCGUAAAGCUCUGUUGUCAGGGAAGAACCGCCGGGAUAACCUCCCGGUCUGACGGUACCUGGCGAGAAAGCCCCGGCUAACUACGUGCCAGCAGCCGCCGUAAUAC